AGAAUAGCUCAGUUGGUAGAGCGCAACCUUGCCAAGGUUGAGGUCGCGGGUUCGAAUCCCGUUUCUC
rnacentral:tRNA from 1 species